rnacentral:rRNA from 1 species
GACAGAGGGUGCGAACGUUGUUCGGAAUCACUGGGCGUAAAGGGCGCGUAGGCGGCCUGAUCAAGUCGGGGGUGAAAGCCUGGUGGCUCAACCACAGAAUUGCCUUCGAUACUGUUUGGCUUGAGACCGGAAGAGGUAAGGUGGAACUGCGAGUGUAGAGGUGAAAUUCGUAGAUAUCGAGAGGAACACCGGUGGCGAAGGCGGCCUUCUGGACAGUGACUGACGCUGAGACGACGAAAGCGUGGGGAGCAAACAGG